UUCUCCGUGGCGCAAUUGGCUAGCGCGUUCGACUGUUAUUGGCUUCGCAGCAAACAACCAAGCUGGCGUUUCGACUAGCAGGCAAUCGAGAGGUUGACAGUUCAAGCCUGUCCGGGGGAG